GACGAACGCUGGCGGCGUGCUUAACACAUGCAAGUCGAACGGUGAUGCUCCAGCUUGCUGGAGUGGAUCAGUGGCGAACGGGUGAGUAACACGUGAGCAACCUGCCCCAGACUCUGGAAUAAGCGCUGGAAACGGCGUCUAAUACUGGAUACGAAACUGGCCCGCAUGGGCAUGGUUUGGAAAGUUUUUCGGUUUGGGAUGGGCUCGCGGCCUAUCAGCUUGUUGGUGAGGUAAUGGCUCACCAAGGCGACGACGGGUAGCCGGCCUGAGAGGGCGACCGGCCACACUGGGACUGAGUCACGGCCCAGACUCCUACGGGAGGCAGCAGUGGGGAAUAUUGCACAAUGGGCGAAAGCCUGAUGCAGCGACGCCGCGUGAGGGAUGACGGCCUUCGGGUUGUAAACCUCUUUCAGCAGGGAAGAAGCGAAAGUGACGGUACCUGCAGAAGAAGCACCGGCUAACUACGUG
rnacentral:rRNA from 1 species